GAAACUAACCAUUUUUUGUCUUACCUUUUUCUGUAGUAAACAACAGAGCAAAUGUUCUUAUAACCUAAAUGGGAAUAUGAAUGCAGUAUCAUAGCAACAGACAGAGGUGUCAUUUAAUGGCAGAAGAGAGAUCGCGAGAAAAGGAAUAAUAAGUCCUGCCACACUGAGAGCAAAAACCCUCAGAUAUUUUUGGAAAGGACUUUGUGCUUCACGGUUUUCAAAUCAAUGUGAAAAUUCACCUUUUUCCGAAAGUAGCUGUCAUGUUUACAGUUCAAACUGGGCGAAUUGUCAACAAGAGUGUAACACGAAAAGCCUGUUUUAUCGAAGUGAGCGGCAAAAAUGCAAUCUUCUGUAGAAUUUAGUCUGUAUUGUCCAAAACAGGGGUUCUGUGGUAGGAUGGACAGGAUUUUCUUUUUUAGAUGAUUUCUUGCACCAGGUUACUUAGGUCUAUUGUGUUCAAGUUCUUAAAUAUUAUGUGUUGUAACCAAGCAACGUGACUAACAUUUUGAAAAACACCUAACUAGCUUCCUACAGCUGGUCUGGAUUCACAGCAAAAUGUGCUGUUACAAUACAUGCCUGGAAGGACAUUGCUGCCCAGUGAAAUCCCUCUGCAGCACACCAGGUAUAUGAAAAGAAUCAUGCCCUUUCACUUUAAGGAGGAAACCCCUGAAAUAACAACUCUUCUCUGGUACUGAGAAUCAGUGCAACAUAGGAACGAUAACUGGUUCCCUGAACUCAUUUCUGGAGACACUUUCAAGUCUGUGAAAUGAUGUAGCAGAUGCUGAGCUGAGAACUAGAAGAUAUAUAUGAUUUAAGUGUCAGCUGCCUUGUAUUUAAUGUUUUUUUUUUUUUUGAUCACUAUGGCAGAAGACUGCAGCUG